UACGGGGGGGGCAAGCGUUGUUCGGAAUUACUGGGCGUAAAGGGCUCGUAGGUGGCCAACUAAGUCGGACGUGAAAUCCCUCGGCUUAACCGGGGAACUGCGUCCGGAUACUGGUUGGCUUGAGUUUGGGAGAGGGAUGCGGAAUUCCAGGUGUAGCGGUGAAAUGCGUAGAUAUCUGGAGGAACACCGGUGGCGAAGGCGGUUCUCUGGGCAUGUCCUGACGCUGAGGAGCGAAAGUGUGGGGAGCGAACAGG
rnacentral:rRNA from 1 species